CACGUGGCGACGGUUGGCUCGUUAACCCAUUUAAAGGCUGUCUGCGGAGAAAGUACCGUGUCCCCGUGCACUUUAGCAAGCCGGAAGCGUUUAGUUUCCUCUUGAGGCCUCAGUCAGUAGUCCUUGUCUGUUAAAUGUGUAGGUAGAUGAGGGUUAAAUCAUUCUGCAGGUUUGGGUAAUAUCGGGGUCAUGACAGUGGAGCGCGUGCACCGUCACCUCUGCACCAGGUGCGUUUAAAGCACGCUACAGACAUAAUUUUCCACUAAGCAGCACAGGUUUGACCUCGUCACCCUCUCCUGUUGCCUCCAAAGAUUUAUCAAAGGAGGAGCUGAAGUGGACACAUUGUUGCAUUUUGGGAUGGAAAACAGCCACAUGGUCAGAAAAAGAAAAGGUAGG